rnacentral:rRNA from 1 species
CAACUCGCCUGCAUGAAGUCGGAAUUGCUAGUAAUCGCGGAUCAGCAUACUGCCGUGAAUACGUUCCCGGGCCUUGUACACACCGCCCGUCACACCAUGAGAGUUGGGAAUACCCGAAGCCUGUGAGCUAACGUUAAGAGGCAGCAGUCGAAGGUAGAAUCAAUGAUUGGGGUGAAGUCGUAACAAGGUAGC